UACGUAGGGUGCAAGCGUUAAUCGGAAUUACUGGGCGUAAAGCGUGCGCAGGCGGUUAUGUAAGACAGAUGUGAAAUGCCCGGGCUUAACCUGGGAACUGCAUUUGUGACUGCAUGGCUAGAGUGUGUCAGAGGGGGGUAGAAUUCCACGUGUAGCAGUGAAAUGCGUAGAUAUGUGGAGGAAUACCGAUGGCGAAGGCAGCCCCCUGGGAUAACACUGACGCUCAUGCACGAAGGCGUGGGGAGCAAACAGG
rnacentral:rRNA from 1 species